rnacentral:rRNA from 1 species
UGAACUGCAGGACACAUGAGCAUCGACAUUUUGAACGCAAAUGGCGGCCCUCGGUUUAUCCUUGGGCCACUCCCGGAUGAGGGUUGG